rnacentral:pre_miRNA from 1 species
AGUGAGAUUACUAGGUCAUAUGGUAAGUGUGUGUUUAACUUUGUAAGAUACUGUCAAGCUGUUUUCCAAAGUAACUGUGCCAUUUUGCAUUUCCAAUAGCAAC